CCUACGGGAGGCAGCAGUGGGGAAUAUUGCACAAUGGGGGGAACCCUGAUGCAGCGACGUCGCGUGAGUGAAGAAGUAUUUCGGUAUGUAAAGCUCUAUCAGCAGGGAAGAAAAUGACGGUACCUGACUAAGAAGCCCCGUCGAACUACGUGCCAGCAGCCGCGGUAACACGUAGGGGGCAAGCGUUAUCCGGAUUUACUGGGGGUUAAGGGAGCGCAGACGGCUGUGCAAGUCGGGAGUGAAAGGCGGGGGCCCAACCCCCGGACUGCUGUGGAAACGGUAAAGCUGGAGUGCAGGAAAGGGAAGCGGAAUUCGUAGUGUAGCGGUGAAAUGCGUAGAUAUUAGGAGGAACACCAGUGGCGAAGGCGGCUUACUGGACUGCAACUGACGUUGAGGCUCGAAGGCGUGGGGAGCAAACAGGAUUAGAUACCCGUGUAGUC
rnacentral:rRNA from 1 species